UGGGGAAUUUUGGACAAUGGGCGAAAGCCUGAUCCAGCAAUGCCGCGUGUGUGAAGAAGGCCUUCGGGUUGUAAAGCACUUUUGUCCGGAAAGAAAUCCUUGGCUCUAAUACAGCCGGGGGAUGACGGUACCGGAAGAAUAAGCACCGGCUAACUACGUGCCAGCAGCCGCGGUAAUACGUAGGGUGCAAGCGUUAAUCGGAAUUACUGGGCGUAAAGCGUGCGCAGGCGGUUUGCUAAGACCGAUGUGAAAUCCCCGGGCUCAACCUGGGAACUGCAUUGGUGACUGGCAGGCUAGAGUAUGGCAGAGGGGGGUAGAAUUCCACGUGUAGCAGUGAAAUGCGUAGAGAUGUGGAGGAAUACCGAUGGCGAAGGCAGCCCCCUGGGCCAAUACUGACGCUCAUGCACGAAAGCGUGGGGAGCAAAACAGGAUUAGAUACCCUGGUAGUCCACGCCCCUAAAACGAUGUCAACUAGUUGUUGGGGGAUUCAUUUCCUUAGUAACGUAGCUAACGCGUGAAGUUGACCGCCUGGGGGAGUACGGUCGCAAGAUUAAAACUCAAAGGAAUUGACGGGGUCAUAGCUGUUUCCU
rnacentral:rRNA from 1 species